rnacentral:lncRNA from 1 species
AUGCGGCGGCGACCGGGCAGGGCCGGGCCCAGACGAACCGAACCGGACAGAGUCAAGCGGAGCCGAACCGAGAGAAUCCCAGCGGAGCCGAACCGAAAACGAACUGAGCCGAGCGAGGCCGAAGAAAGCCGAGCGGGCCGCGCCGAACCAAGCCGGGCCGAACCGGGCCGGGCCGAAGCUCCCCGAUCCGCCCCGAGCUCAGCCGAGCAGAGCCGAGUCGAGCCCGAACGGAGCCGAACCUUCCCGAUCCUCGCCGAGCUGAACCGAGCGGAGCCGAGCCCGGUCCGAGCGCAGCCGAACGGUUCCGACCCGGGCCGAACGCGGCCGAACCGCCCCGAUCCGCCCCGGGACGGGGUGUGGGGCAGGCCCGGUGCGCACGGCCCGUCCCCAUUGGCUACGGCCGCUCUGCGCUCCGCCAAUGGCGGCAGCGCGCGGCUUAACCCGCCGAGCGCCGCCGGCACCGGCCCCGGGGGGGGGCCGCCGAGCGCCGCCGGCACCGGCACCGGCACCGGCACCGGGCCCGGUUCUGUGUCCCACCCCAGCACUGUGUCCGACCCCGGCCCUGUGUCCGACCCCGUCCUCAUCCCUAUCCCGGCUCGUCCCCACUCCCCACUCCCCAUUCCCCACUCCCCGGGGGGGGGGGGGGGGGGGGGGGGGGGGGGGGGGGGGGGGGGGGGGGGGGGGGGGGGGGGGGGGGGGGGGGGGGGGGGGGGGGGGGGGGGCCUCCUGGCACAGCCCCAGCAAGGCUGGGCACUGUCACCCCUUGUCCUGCCCUCAGCAUCCCCACUCCCCAUCCCCGUUCCUGCCCCGAUCCCAUCUUUAUCCUUAUCCCCUUUCUCUCUCCCCAGCUUCUUCCCCACCCCCAUCCUUAUGCUCAUCUUUUUUCCCAUCCCUAUCCCUGUCCCAUGGAUCCCUAUCCUCAUUCCUGUCCCCCUCUCCAUCAUCCCAGCCCCAUCCUUGUCCCUAUCCCCCAUCUCUAUUCUCACACUUAUCUCUCCCCUAUCCCCAUUCUCAUCCCCAUCUCUAACCUCUAUCCCUAUCAUCUCCCUUCCAUCCCUGGCCUCAUCCUCGUCCCCAUCUCCCAGUCCCAUCCUCUCCCCAUCUUCAUUCUCAUCCCUGUCCUCUGUCCCCAUUCCCAUCAUCCGCAUCCUCAUCCACAUCCCUGUUCUCAUCCCCAUCAUCUCUAUUCCAUCCCUAUGCCCAUCCUCAUCCCCAUUCCUCUCUUCUUCCCCAGCCCCUCCAUCUCAUCUCACCCCGUCCUCAUUCCCGUCCUACCCCCAUCUCCAUCCCCACGCCAUCCCAUGCCAGCCCCCGCUGCAGUUACACUCCCAGCCCCACCCCACUGCCAUCCCCGCUCCUGACGGCGCAGCCCCACACUCCCCAUUCCACCCUGAAGUCCUGACCCCACCCCGCAGCCCCACCCGCUACCCCUCGGACAGAGGGGACUCCGGGGACCCCCGAGGGGCACCCCUGGCUGUCACAGCCCCAGCCGCACCCCCCACUAGUGGCUCUGCUUCCCGGUAGUAUUUUUAGAUCUAAACAUUUGUGCCGGAUUUUGGGUCCAAAAUUAGAGGGAAAAGAGCUGGAACAAACCAUGCUGGGAUGAUGCAGCUUUUUAUUGCGAAGGGGGGCAGGGAUUAAAAGGAACCCCUGGAACACAGAACAGGAUGUCCUCAGGGUGCCCCUCACCCUGUUCCCUUCACCCUAACUUCCCCCCGCUCCCGGCUGGAUGCCCCCUUAUUCAGACAAGGAAUUUUGUCCUUGGGUCGUCCUUAUUUUCCCAGUUUUAAUCCGGGAGUUAAUCCCUGCCCAAAACCCACUGCCCAGCACCCCUCCCAACAGCCUGCCCCACCCACAGCCUGACAUCCCCAGGGCAGCGCUGGGCUUUGCGUGUCCUUGAGGGGCCCUGCGUGUCCCAGGGGGCAGCAGGAUUGGCCUCGGGUGCGUGUGAUCCAUGGGAGCACACGUGUGUCAGCACACGCACGCACAGACACACGUGUGCACAGCGUAGGGACGUGUGUGUGCCCCACAGAUGUAUCUGCCAGAUGUGUGACUCCCCAGGCAGCCACAGAUGACACAAGUGUGUACCCAGGUGUGCAAACACACAGACACACAGACACAGACACAGACACACAGACACACACAGACACACACAGACACACACAGGGGGGGGGGGGGGGGGGGGGGGGGGGGGGGGGGGGGGGGGGGGGGGGGGGGGGGGGGGGGGGGGGGG